GAAAAUACCAUGUUUUUGUAAUUAAAAAAAAAAAAAAAAAAAAAAAAAAAAAACGAAUAAAUAAAUAAAAAAAAAUAUGUUUGUCGCCACUAAUUGACCCGCACGAUACCUACCUGCCUACCUACCCACAACAAAUAAAUGUACUCUGCAAUAAUAAUAAUUAUUAGCUCGUCACCCGCGUCCGUUAUUCUUGAGCGAAUGGCUGAAUAAUAUUAAGUUCUCGCGGUAUGUGAAAAAAAAAAAAAACGUAAAAAACCGAGAUAAUUAUUAUGAUUAUUCGUUACAGUGCAUUUUACAAAAAAAAAACUUUGUUUUUAUUUAACUUCCUCUUACCACCCUUCCCCUCACCCGUUGAUAAAAUUACAAUCUAAGAUCGUAAAUCUAAUUCCGUAUUUAUACCAUAUUAUUAUAAUAUUAUGCGUAUUAGACUUAAGUGGC